AACGAACGCUGGCGGCAUGCCUAACACAUGCAAGUCGAACGAGACCUUCGGGUCUAGUGGCGCACGGGUGCGUAACGCGUGGGAACCUGCCCUUAGGUUCGGAAUAACUCCCCGAAAGGGGUGCUAAUACCGGAUAAUGUCUUCGGACCAAAGAUUUAUCGCCUUUGGAUGGGCCCGCGUUGGAUUAGCUAGUUGGUAGGGUAAAAGCCUACCAAGGCGACGAUCCAUAGCUGGUCGGAGAGGAUGCUCAGCCACACUGGGACUGAGACACGGCCCAGACUCCUACGGGAGGCAGCAGUGGGGAAUAUUGGACAAUGGGCGAAAGCCUGAUACAGCAAUGCCGCGUGAGUGAUGAAGGCCUUAGGGUUGUAAAGCUCUUUUACCCGGGAUGAUAAUGACAGUACCGGGAGAAUAAGCUCCGGCUAACUCCGUG
rnacentral:rRNA from 1 species